rnacentral:rRNA from 1 species
CCUACGGGAGGCAGCAGUGAGGAAUAUUGGUCAAUGGGCGCGAGCCUGAACCAGCCAAGUAGCGUGAAGGAUGACUGCCCUACGGUUUGUAAACUUCUUUUAUAAAGGAAUAAAGUGAGGCACGUGUGCCUUAGUGGAUGGACUUUAUGAAUAAGGAUCGGCCAACUCAGUGCCAGCAGGCGAGGUAAUACGGAGGAUUCGAGCGUUAUCCGGGUUUGUUGGGGUUAAAGGGAGCGUAGACGGGUUGUUAAGUGUGUUGUGAAAGUUUGCGGCGCAACCGUAAAAGUGCAAUUGAUACUGGCAGUCUUGAGUACAGUUGAGGUAGGCGGAAUGCGUGGUGUAGCGGUGAAAUGCUUAGAUAUCACGAAGAACUCCGAUUGCGAAGGCAGCUUACUAGACUGCCACUGACAUUGAUGCUCGAAAGUGUGGGUAUCAAACAGGAUUAGAUACCCGAGUAGUC